rnacentral:rRNA from 1 species
CCUACGGGCGGCAGCAGUGAGGAAUAUUGGUCAAUGGCCGUAAGGCUGAACCAGCCAAGUCGCGUGAAGGAAGAAGGACCUAUGGUUUGUAAACUUCUUUUAUAGGGGAUUAAAGGUAUCCACGUGUGGAUAUUUGCAUGUACCCUAUGAAUAAGCAUCGGCUAACUCCGUGCCAGCAGCCGCGGUAAGACGGAGGAUGCGAGCGUUAUCCGGAUUUAUUGGGUUUAAAGGGUGCGUAGGUUGUUUUUUAAGUCAGCGGUGAAAGUUUGUGGCUCAACCAUAAAAUUGCCGUUGAAACUGGAAGCCUUGAGUGUGUUUGAGGUAGGCGGAAUGCGUGGUGUAGCGGUGAAAUGCAUAGAUAUCACGAAGAACUCCGAUUGCGAAGGCAGCAUAC